CGAACUGGCUGCCCAAUUGUGUGGGUGGGUAGGUGGCAGGGAGGGACUGGUUGUUCUGGGUCUGCCCCUCCGGCCCCACCACACCUGCUUCCAGGUGAGCUUAGGAAUUUCCCAGGCUUCCUCCCAGCUGGAGCCAGACGUGUCCCUCAGAGGCCCCAGCCCUGCCCAUCCUUUCCUGCCCUACCCAGGGCUUCUCUACCUUCUUGGCUUGGCCUGCUCCUUGUUCACACCUUGGUAAAUGACCCUUCACAAAAGUCAUUUUCUCUAUUUGUGCUUUUCUUUCUUUUGCCAGGACGCUUGACUUUCUCGACAGGGAGGGGGAGGCAAGCCUGGUGCCCAGUGCUCUGCCUGCACUGGUCAGUGCGCGUGGCUGUCACUUGGCUGGGAAGCUAGGCCAGGAGAGCAGCUGCAGCUGUGGAGGUCGGCAGUUGAGAGGUGGAGAGACCUGAGCACACUUGGGCCAGUCGUCCCGUGGCAUUUGGGAGCCCAGGACCGAGCCGGGGGGCAAGUGUGGGCAAUGCUUGGAGCCACAGAGUGGGGGUAGGGAAUUGGAGGGGUAGAGAGGACAACUCAAACCAAGCCAGGAACCCACAGAGGAGACCAGGAAAGGAAAACCAAGAAGGAGUGAGUCCCCAAUGCCCCCAAAUUGAUCCAUAUAUUGAAUGAUCCCCAGUAAAAGUAGCUCCAUGAUGAUUCCAAAGCCCUUAGGAAACUAAAGGUGCCAGGAGAAUGAAUAGACACGUCUCCAUAGAAGACACACACUGGUCAACAAGUACAUGGGAAAUGUCCAGCAUCCUCCAGGAAAUGCAAAGCAAAACCACAGUGAGAUCCCACCUCCCACCCGCUGGGACUGGGCAGAUGCAGUCCUGGCAAACCAGUCUUGGUGAGGAGCGGGGGUAUCAGAGCCCUGCUGCACUGAGAUACACACACACAAAAUGGAAUAGUAUUCAGUCUUAAAAAGGAAAGAAAUUCCAGUACUGGCUGCAACUUGGAUGGACCCUGAGGAUCCUAUGCUGAGUUAAAUAAGCCAGUCACAGAAGAACACGUACCAUACAAUCCCACUUAUGUGAGGUCCCUAGAGUAGUCACUUUCAUAGAGAUAGUAGCUGACAGGAGGAGCAUGGGGAGUGACUGUUUAAUGAAUACAGACUUGAAAUUUGGGAAGAGGUAAAAGUUCUGGAGAUGGAUGGUGGUGAUGGGUGGUGAUGAUGGACAUUGGAGAUGGGCAAUGGACAUGGAUGGUGGUGAUGGAUGGUAUAAAUGGAUAUUGGAUGUGGACAGCGGACGUGGACAGUGGAGAUAGAGGGUGGUGAUGGCUGGUGGACAUGGACAGUGAAGAUAGAGAGUAGUGAUGGAUGGUGGAGAUAGAGGGCGGUGAUGGACAGUGGAGAUAGAGGGUGGUGAUGGACAGUGGAGAUAGAGGGUGGUGAUGGACAGUGGACAUGGACAGUGGAGAUAGAGGGUGGUGAUGGACAGUGGAGAUAGAGGGUGGUGAUGGACAGUGGACAUGGAUAGUGGAGACAGAGGGUAGUGAUGGACAGUGGAGAUAGAGGGUGGUGAUGGACAGUGGACAUGGACAGUGGAGAUAAAGGGUGGUGAUGGACAGUGGAGAUAGAGGGUGGUGAUGGACAGUGGAGAUAGAGGGUGGUGAUGGACAGUGGAGAUAGAGGGUGGUGAUGAACAGUGGAGAUAGAGGGUAGUGAUGGACAGUGGACAUGGACAGUGGAGAUAGAGGGUGGUGAUGGAUGGUGGACAUGGACAGUGGAGAUAGAGGGUGGUGAUAGACGGUGGACAUGGACAGUGGACAUGGACGGUGGGGACAGAGGGUGGUGAUGGACGGUGGACACAGACGGUGGAGAUAGAGGGUGGUGAUGGACGGUGGACACGGACAGUGGAGAUAGAGGGUGGUGAUGGACAGUGGAGAUAGAGGGUGGUGAUGGUCAGUGGAGAUAGAGGGUGGUGAUGGACGGUGGAGAUAGAGGGUGGUGAUGGACAGUGGACAUGGACAGUGGAGACAGAGGGGGUGAUGGACAAUGGACAUGGACAGUGGAGAUACAGGGUGGUGAUGGACGGUGGACAUGGACAGUGGAGACCGGGGGUGAUGAACAGUGGACAUGGACAGUGGAGACAGAGGGUGGUGAUGGACCCUGGAGAUAGAGGGUGGUGAUGGACAGUGGAGAUAGAGGGUGGUGAUGGGCGGUGGACAUGGACAGUGGAGAUAGAGGGUGGUGAUGGACAGUGGACAUGGACAGUGGAGAUAGAGGGUAGUGAUAGACGGUGGACAUGGAUAGUGGAGAUAGAGGGUGGUGAUGGACGGUGGACAUGGACAGUGGAGAUAGAGGGUGGUGAUGGACGGUGGACAUGGACAGUGGAGAUAGAGGGUGGUGAUGGAUGGUGGACAUGGACAGUGGAGACAGAGGGUGGUGAUGGACGGUGGAGAUAGAGGGUAGUGAUGGACGGUGGACAUGGACAGUGGAGACGGAGGGUAGUGAUGGAUGGUGGACAUGGACAGUGGAGACAGAGGGUAGUGACGGACGGUGGACAUGGACAGUGGAGACAGAGGGUAGUGAUGGAUGGUGGACAUGGGCAGUGGAGGUGGAGGGUAGUGAUGGACGGUGGACGUGGACAGUGGAGAUGGAGGGUAGUGAUGUACAGUGGACAUGGACAGUGGAGAUAGAGAGUGGUGAUGGACAGUGGAGAUAGAAGGUGGUGAUGGACAGUGGAGAUAGAAGGUGGUGAUGGACAGUGGACAUGGACGCUGGAGAUAGAGGGUGGUGAUGGACAGUGGAGAUAGAGGGUGGUGAUGGAUGGUGGACAUGGACAGUGGAGAUAGAGGGUGGUGAUGGAUGGUGGACAUGGAUAGUGGAGUUGAAGGGUGGAGAUGGAGGGUG
rnacentral:lncRNA from 10 species